rnacentral:rRNA from 1 species
CGCGUAGGCGGUUAGUUAAGCUGGAUGUGAAAGCCCUGGGCUCAACCUGGGAACUGCAUUCAGAACUGGCUGGCUAGAGUACGAGAGAGGGUAGUGGAAUUUCCUGUGUAGCGGUGAAAUGCGUAGAUAUAGGAAGGAACAUCAGUGGCGAAGGCGACUGCCUGGCUCGAUACUGACGCUGAGGUGCGAAAGCGUGGGGAGCAAACA